rnacentral:rRNA from 1 species
AGUGAACGCUGGCGGCAGGCCUAAUACAUGCAAGUCGAACGGCAGCACAGCAGAGCUUGCUCUGUGGGUGGCGAGUGGCGGACGGGUGAGGAAUACGUGGGAAUCUGCCCAGUCGUGGGGGAUAACGUAGGGAAACUUACGCUAAUACCGCAUGCGCCCUUCGGGGGAAAGCCGGGGACCUUCGGGCCUGGCGCGAUUGGAUGAGCCCACGUCGGAUUAGCUAGUUGGCGGGGUAAAGGCCCACCAAGGCGACGAUCCGUAGCUGGUCUGAGAGGAUGAUCAGCCACACUGGAACUGAGACACGGUCCAGACUCCUACGGGAGGCAGCAGUAGGGAAUAUUGGACAAUGGGCGCAAGCCUGAUCCAGCCAUGCCGCGUGAGUGAAGAAGG